rnacentral:rRNA from 1 species
CAACACAGGCAUGCUUAAGGAGAGAUUACAAAAAGUAAAAGGAAUUCAGCAAAUCUUACCCCGCUUGUUUACCAAAAGCAUCACCUCUAGCAUUACCAGUAUUAGAGUCACUGCCUG